GUGGGGGGCAGGGAUGGGGCCCUAGUGAAAGACUAAAGGCAGAAGAUCCCUGGCUUUGAUCUUCUGCAAAGUUCAUGGGCAACCCUAAACAGCAUCCAUGCAAAUCAUGACAGAUGCGGAUAUUUGAUGCACAAAUGGAAAGUUUAAAACUCUCCAGUGUGUGACUGUGGUCACCCAGAUCAGACCAUGGAACAUAUAAUGACUCAAUGCCCAGUUCAGAGAUAUAAAUGAGGCAUCACAGCAAUAUGCUCUGCUACUGCUUACGCAAUUCUCUGGCUUAACCACCUGAAUGUAAAAUUAUAGUUGUUAACUCUGUAUCUACAUCAGCCAUACAAAGAAAAAGUGGGCAGGGCCUGGGGUGAGUCGUGACUCCUCCCUGCUACUCACCAGCCAGAGUAGUGGGCCAGGCACACGCAGGAAAUAAGCUGCCCUAUAAAGAGUGGGGUGAAGUAACUUACUCCCAAAGCAAGAGGGGUACAGGGAGGGAAUGAUGACUUAGAGGGGUGGCUUUGUGUCACAGUGUGUCCUGGGGCCUCCCAAGGUUUAUGGAGCUUAUGCACCAAAGUUACUUGAGGCUGUCGCUAACCUAAAAAACUAGCCCGAAAAGAAUAAAAUAAACAAGCAAUAUAGGGUUGUGCACUUUCCUACUGAAAUGUUUGCGGCCACAUGUGCCAAGAGAGGCCAUGCGUUGGUACAAUAAGUGCGCAGUGUGGUUACAAAAGGCCAAUUCUUUGUGCUACUGGCAAGGGAGGGUGCCAGCUCCCAUAAAACAAAUUGUGUCUGUUCAAACUCGCGCAGAAGCAGCAGGAGAAGCUGCAGUUGAGUGCUUCAACUGUCUGUACACUCUCUAGGGAUAACUGACUGCUAUGAAAAAGACAGUUCCUGUAUCUCUGCAAUGCAGCACAUCUGGUGAGUGGGACAGAUCUAAUGAGAGCCUGGCCUGUUGAACUUCAGGCCUCGAUGUUUCCUGGAUUUCAGCAAGGAACACUGGUCAGGCCUGGAUUUGGUUUUGCUUCCUCCUCUGACUCUGUCUCCGCUGGAAGAGAACUUAAUGUAACAAUGGAACCUCACCUCCGAGCAAGCCUUUCGAAACUGACCUCAGCAAGCAAAAACAACGAGCCACCUCAACACAGAUGACGUUUUAUCUGCAAAUGUUCCAGCAGGGGGCAGCAUUUAUUCAUUUGUGGAGCAAGAGUAAGAAAAUGCCUUUUUAAUUUUACUGAGUUUAUCUCAACACAGCUUUUCAGCUGGGAAAAAAUGGCAUCAGACUUCCAAGGUUGAUAUAAAAUAUACAAAAUGCUAUAUUAUAAAAUGUUUACAGCUGGAUGGACAGCUAGCAAAUGUGAGAGACAAAGGCGGGGAUGAAAGGGUUAAAGCACUAGCUCUAGACCUUCCUUGUCCUGUUCAUGAGCAUGAUGCUGCUUUGAGCAUGGCUUGAUAGUCAGAUUAAAGUGACUGGGUGUUCAGAUUCAGUGUCAGCAGAUGACCCUGAUCACAAUGUUCCCAUUUAGGGAAGCAUUUUCACUGCAGUGUUCACAGUGUUCUCCUUGGUUCAAGAUAUAUUACAUCAGGGAUCAAAUAUGCUAGUGAAAAUCCAAAAUAAACUCCAAAUAAUAAAGAAACAUUGUAUUAUUAUCCCAGACCCCAAUAAUAUUGCUUGUUUCUGCUACAAGAAUA